AUGGACAUGAGGGCCUCUGGUCAGCUCCUGGGGCUCCUGCUGCUCUGGAUUGCAAGUGCCAGAUGUGACAUCCAGUUGACCUAUCUACCAUCCCUGUCAUCACCUCUGGGAGACAGAGUCACCAUCACUUGCAGAGCCAGUCAGAGCAUUAGCAAUCAUUUACAUUGGUACCAGCAGAGAGCAGGGAAAGCUCCAGAGCUCCUGACCCGUUAUGCAACUAUUUUGCAAUCGGGAUUCCCACCAAGGUUCACUGGCAGUGGAUCUGGGACAGAGUUCGCUCUCGCCAUCAGCAGCCUGCAGCCUGAAGAUGUACAACUUAUUUCUUCAACAGAAUCAUAA